rnacentral:rRNA from 1 species
GACGAACCGAGCGAACGUUGUUCGGAAUAACUGGGCUUAAAGGGCGCGUAGGCGGGCUCCCAAGUUCGAGGUGAAAUCCUCCGGCUCAACCGGAGAACUGCCUCGAAUACUGGAGGCCUCGAGGCGGGUAGGGGCGUGCGGAACUGUGGGUGGAGCGGUGAAAUGCGUUGAUAUCCACAGGAACUCCGGUGGCGAAGGCGGCACGCUGGACCCGAUCUGACGCUGAGGCGCGAAAGCCAGGGGAGCAAAC